UACGGAGGAUGCAAGCGUUAUCCGGAUUUACUGGGUUUAAAGGGUGCGCAGGCGGAACGAUCAGUCAGUGGUGAAAUCUCCCGGCUUAACCGGGAAACUGCCAUUGAUACUAUCGUUCUUGAGUCCAGUUGAAGUAGGCGGAAUGUAGCAUGUAGCGGUGAAAUGCUUAGAUAUGCUACAGAACACCGAUAGCGAAGGCAGCUUACUAAACUGAAACUGACGCUCAGGCACGAAAGCGUGGGGAUCAAACAGGAUUAGAUACCCGCGUAGUCC
rnacentral:rRNA from 1 species